rnacentral:rRNA from 1 species
UCGAGGAUCUUCGUCAAUGGGCGCAAGCCUGAACGAGCGACGCCGCGUGUGGGAUGAAGGCCUUCGGGUUGUAAACCACUGUCGAGGGGGAGGAAGGCCGCAAGGCUUGACCGACCCCUGGAGGAAGGACGGGCUAAGUUCGUGCCAGCAGCCGCGGUAAGACGAACCGUCCUAACGUUGUUCGGAAUCACUGGGCUUAAAGGGCGCGUAGGCGGCCCUGUAAGUCGGGGGUGAAAGCCCACGGCCCAACCGUGGAAGUGCCUCCGAUACUGCGGGGCUCGAGGGAGGUAGGGGCAGCGGGAACUUCCGGUGGAGCGGUGAAAUGCGUUGAUAUCGGAAGGAACGCCGGUGGCGAAAGCGCGCUGCUGGACCUCUGCUGACGCUGAGGCGCGAAAGCCAGGGGAGCAAACGG